rnacentral:lncRNA from 10 species
AGGAAGCCAAGAAGAAGAGAAAGUUUUUGUGAGUUCCUAUGCAUAGUGGAGACCUGUUCUAGUGACGGUCCCUGGGGCUGAGCCUGUGGGUCAGUGGAAUGAUGCUGUGAGGAGGGUCUUGUUAUAGCAGAUGGCCCAAAAAAGGCUGAUGGAUCAUGAGCAGCUGGAAGAAUGGAGAGUUUGGGGGACGUAGUUCCUACCUGGCUUUCCAACAAUGUGUAAGCCCGGAAUUCUUACAUAAGUCCAUGGAGAAGGGAAAGGAAUGCUGGUAACGACAAGAUUGAAUUCUCCACCUGCCAGGCAUCCAGGGACUCAGAGC